rnacentral:lncRNA from 1 species
UGGGUAAAGUUAGAAUGUAAAUAAUAUUAAUUUUAAUGCGGAUGGGCACUUGAUGGUAAGGUUAUUUUUGAAAGUUUGUUAAAUUUGAGGAGGUACACAUGAUAUUUUAAUUUUUAAAGGAUUAUUUAUGAAAUUAGAUGUUUUUAGAAGGGUAUAGAGAAAACUUUCUCUUUAAUAAACUAUUCUUUUUUUCAAAAUUUUGAUUUUAUUAUUCAGCCGUUCAAUUUGUUUAAUUUGAGUUUAUCAUUGAAUUUAUUAUUUAUUUUUAUAGAUUUAAAGUAAACAAUUAGCUAAAACUUUGAAGACAAAUUACCAUUAAUUGACUUAAAUUAAACAAAUUAAAAAAUUAGAUAAUAAAAUCAAAAUUUUUAAUGAUCAAAUAAUCGAUUCAAAAUAAUUCAUAAUUCAGAUAAGGAUGUCACUGGGCCGGGUUUUCAAAAACCCGAACCCAAAUCCAAAAUCAAAUUAAAAUUCGAACUCGAAUCCGAACCCGGCGGAUUUUAAAAAUCCAUACCCAUAUUCGAACCCAACUAAAAACCUGAAAUCCGAACCCGAACCCGAAUCCGAAAUAAUGAUUUCUCUUUAUCAUAUUUCAAAAUAUAUUAUAGUAAAAUUAAAACUUUUAAAAUAAAAUUUUUAAAACACAAUCAAAUAUAACAUUAAAACAUUCAUGUCAUAUAAUAUCAAUAUCUGGAUAACAAAAGCACAAAUUCAAAUAGUUAAAGACAACAAUACAUUCUUUAAAUAUCUAAUACAAGCUCUAGAUAUCAAAAUGUUAUAUAAUUUAUUUGGAUUCGGGUUCGAGUUCGAGUUGGAUAAAUACAAAAUAGUCGUAUUCAUAUCCGUCAAGUUUUUAUUUUCUAUACCCAUAACCAAAUCCAUAUUUAUUUUAGCUCAGGCAAAUUUACUUUGAUCGGAUUCAAAUUCGGAUAAUAUUUAAAAUAUCCAUACCCAUUAACAUCCCUACAUCCACCAUGUGGUCCCACUUUUUUUUUUUAUUUUUU